rnacentral:rRNA from 1 species
GAUGAACGCUAGCUACAGGCUUAACACAUGCAAGUCGAGGGGCAGCAGGAUCUAGCAAUAGAUUGCUGGCGACCGGCGCACGGGUGAGUAACACGUAUCCAACCUGCCGAUAACUCGGGGAUAGCCUUUCGAAAGAAAGAUUAAUACCCGAUGGUAUAAUCAGACCGCAUGGUUUGAUUAUUAAAGAAUUUCGGUUAUCGAUGGGGAUGCGUUCCAUUAGGCAGUUGGUGAGGUAACGGCUCACCAAACCUUCGAUGGAUAGGGGUUCUGAGAGGAAGGUCCCCCACAUUGGAACUGAGACACGGUCCAAACUCCUACGGGAGGCAGCAGUGAGGAAUAUUGGUCAAUGGACGCGAGUCUGAACCAGCCAAGUAGCGUGAAGGAUGACUGCCCUAUGGGUUGUAAACUUCUUUUAUAUGGGAAUAAAGUUUUCCACGUGUGGAAUUUUGUAUGUACCAUAUGAAUAAGGAUCGGCUAACUCCGUGCCAGCAGCCGCGGUAAUACGGAGGAUCCGAGCGUUAUCCGGAUUUAUUGGGUUUAAAGGGAGCGUAGGUGGACAGUUAAGUCAGUUGUGAAAGUUUGCGGCUCAACCGUAAAAUUGCAGUUGAUACUGGCUGUCUUGAGUACAGUAGAGGUGGGCGGAAUUCGUGGUGUAGCGGUGAAAUGCUUAGAUAUCACGAAGAACUCCGAUUGCGAAGGCAGCUCACUGGACUGCAACUGACACUGAUGCUCGAAAGUGUGGGUAUCAAACAGGAUUAGAUACCCUGGUAGUCCACACAGUAAACGAUGAAUACUCGCUGUUUGCGAUAUACAGUAAGCGGCCAAAGCGAAAGCAUUAAGUAUUCCACCUGGGGAGUACGCCGGCAACGGUGAAACUCAAAGGAAUUGACGGGGGCCCGCACAAGCGGAGGAACAUGUGGUUUUAAUUCGAUGAUACGCGAGGAACCUUACCCGGGCUUAAAUUGCAUUUGAAUAAUCUGGAAACAGGUUAGCCGCAAGGCAAAUGUGAAGGUGCUGCAUGGUUGUCGUCAGCUCGUGCCGUGAGGUGUCGGCUUAAGUGCCAUAACGAGCGCAACCCUUAUCUUUAGUUACUAACAGGUCAUGCUGAGGACUCUAGAGAGACUGCCGUCGUAAGAUGUGAGGAAGGUGGGGAUGACGUCAAAUCAGCACGGCCCUUACGUCCGGGGCUACACACGUGUUACAAUGGGGGGUACAGAAGGCAGCUACCUGGUGACAGGAUGCUAAUCCCAAAAGCCUCUCUCAGUUCGGAUCGAAGUCUGCAACCCGACUUCGUGAAGCUGGAUUCGCUUAGUAAUCCGCGCAUCAGCCAUGGCGCGGUGAAUACGUUCCCGGGCCU